GUGUGAUCUGGCAGCCGAGGGGUCACAGGAUGACAGGAUGAUCACUGAUGGACAGGAUGAUCACGGACGGACAGGCCAGCCACCAGAUCCGCCCUUUUUACUACAGAGACUUACAUAGAAAAAUAUCAGAUUUGAUGAAAAGCCAGUAAGUGAGCAGCUGACCAGUAUUGCAACAUAUGAGAGAGAAAGCACCUUGGCACCGCUGGAAUUCCUAGAUUCAAAUGCCCACUGCAACAGCUGUGAAUAUCCUGAACUCCUCGUGUAAAGCUAAGGGUGGUGCUGAGUGGCCUGACGAAGCGCGAACUCGCGCGAACACGGUCCGUUUGCCCAACCCCCCACGCCAACCCUCUCUCCUGCACUGUGUUUGUUACCUGCUCCAAUUCUGAAUAAAGCCUGAA